GAUGAACGCUAGCGAUAGGCUUAACACAUGCAAGUCGAGGGGCAGCAUGGUCUUAGCUUGCUAAGGCUGAUGGCGACCGGCGCACGGGUGCGUAACGCGUAUGCAACUUGCCUCACAGAGGGGGAUAACCCGUCGAAAGACGGACUAAUACCGCGUACACUCUAUGUUGGGCAUCCAAUGUAGAGGAAAUGAACUUCGCUGUGAGAUAGGCAUGCGUCCCAUUAGCUAGUUGGUGAGGUAACGGCUCACCAAGGCGACGAUGGGUAGGGGAACUGAGAGGUGGAACCCCCACAGUGGUACUGAGACACGGACCAGACUCCUACGGGAGGCAGCAGUGAGGAAGAUUGAUCAAUGGGCGAGAGCCUGAACCAGCCAAGUCGCGUGAAGGAUGACUGUCUUAUGGAUUGUAAACUUCUUUUAUACGGGAAUAACAAGAGUCACGUGUGGCUCCCUGCAUGUACCGUAUGAAUAAGCAUCGGCUAACUCCGUG
rnacentral:rRNA from 1 species